AGUGAACGCUGGCGGUAGGCCUAACACAUGCAAGUCGAACGGCAGCACAGUAAGAGCUUGCUCUUACGGGGGGCGAGUGGCGGACGGGUGAGGAAUACAUCGGAAUCUACUUUUUCGGGGGGGAUAACGUAGGGAAACUUACGCUAAUACCGCAUACGACCUACGGGUGAAAGCAGGGGAUCGUCGGACCUUGCGGGAUUGAAUGAGCCGAUGUGGGAUUAGAUAGUUGGUGGGGUAAAGGCCCACGAGGGCGACGAUCCGUAGCUGGUGUGAGAGGAGGGUCGGCCGCAUUGGAACUGAGACACGGACCAGAGUACUGCGGGAGGCAGCAGUGGCGAACGUUGGGCAACGGGGGGAAACCUGGCACAGCCGUCCCGAGUCGGUUAAGGAGACGUCGGGGUUGUGAAGACGUUUUGUUGGGUAAGAACAGCAGCAGGUUAAUACGAAGCUGUUCUGACGGUAACGAAAGAAUAAGCACCGGCUAACUUCGUG
rnacentral:rRNA from 1 species